AUUCCUUCUCAUUUUUCCCCGAUCCUUCGUUCCUUUCUCCGAUUUUGCUCCUCCAACCCCUUCAUCGCCGGCGUUGGUCCACACCACCACGCCGAUCUCCACGAGCUCAUCGCCGGGCAGCAGUCUUUCCUUCCGCGUGCUCCACCGACGCCCUCUUCUCCCUUCCUCUCUCUUGUGUCUCUGCCCUAGAUCGCCGACGGAGAGGUUUCUUCCACCGCGAUCUCACCUUCACCCGUUGUCGUGGCACCUUGUCUGUGAGAUACCGGCGCCUAUAGCUACCAGCCAUCGACGCCGCCGUUCUUGUUCGUUGCCACUUCCCAUCUCUAACUCCUUUUCCCAUCUCGAGCCCUAGCUACCAUCACUGGGAUCGAGUCCAGCGGAUCGUUCCAAGCUGCUGAGUGUCACCUGAGCGCCACCUGAGCGCCACCUGAGCGCUGCCUAUCCAGUACCUUGUUCCCGAUCUUCCAUCCGCGGCCUCUCCCUCACGGUGACAUUGGGUGCGUGUUCCCAUGAUCCAGCGAUUGCCUGGAUUCAUUCGCGACUGAUCUGUUCCCAUGGGCGCAGACGUCGUCUCUGAUUGUGCCCGCCAGCAGAUCCACUCUGUUGAUAGAUUUCUUGGAUUUGGGUGAUGGUGUGGGCAGCAGUAAGUAUUACCCGUGAUUUCCAGCAGUAGGGUUGCUUCGAUCACAAACUAACAGUGGAGUGCAAUGGAAUUGGGUUUGGUAUCAAUAGGAUUGACCUGUUGGAUGUGAGAGUAAUCCAUGGAAACAUUGUGGAAAAUUGAUAUCGAUGGGAAGGUGAAUGGAGCAGUUGAGACAUGCUUUGGGUCUUUUCAUCAUUAUUCACAGCAUAUAAAUUUCUCACACCCUUGAUCAAAGUUAAGUGGAAUUUAGUGGGCAGCUUU